GUUUUUUCCCAAUUAACAGAAAAGGAGGAGGUUGAUGGAGAGAAGUCUCUCAGUUUUAUGUUUCUUUUCCUCCACCAGGAUCUCAACUCUUCAAGGAUGAAGGAUGGUGAGGCUUUCUUGCUCACUUCAGAAUUCCCAACAAUUAACAGACUUGCUGGAUCAUAAUAAAAACAGUGAAAAUAUACAGGUCUGCUGGCUUCACCCAUUUUGGGUAAUACUUCUGGAAAGCAACAACAGGGGUACAGUUCUAACUUGGAAGGGAGGGGCCAAGCGGACUGUAAAAGAAACCCAGAAUUUUCCCCAGAACUGCUUCAAAUUAGCUACUGAGAGCAAAAGUAAAUUCAAGAGAAACCCCAUCAUUUUGGAAAGAAAGGGAAAAUGCCCCAGCACGACAUCUUGCCCAAAGCAGGUCAAUAGCA
rnacentral:lncRNA from 1 species